GGGGAUGUAAUUGGAUAUCGACAGGCACUAGGGAAGUAUAGUGUAAGCCAUAAAGUGAAAGUACACUUAAAAACUAAAAUUAAAAUUAAACGCAAACGAAGAAUACGCAUACGCAGCAUAAGUUCUGUGUACAUCUUACCUACUGUUUUGUCUACACUGUGUAGGAAUAAGGUGUCAUUUAAGUAGACAAAUACUAUAUUGAUACAUAUAGGUAUAGUAUUUAAAUAUAUGUAAUACCUAUAAUUUUUGGAUUAUUUUUGAUUAUAGGUAGAUAUUUUAAAGAUAAUCUAUUUAUGGUAGAAAGCAUUAUACACUAUGUCUGGAACGGAGUUCGACUCUCCGCAUCUCCACCA
rnacentral:tmRNA from 2 species